rnacentral:rRNA from 1 species
AACGAACGCUGGCGGCAUGCCUAACACAUGCAAGUCGAACGAGACCUUCGGGUCUAGUGGCGCACGGGUGCGUAACGCGUGGGAACCUGCCCUUAGGUUCGGAAUAACUCCCCGAAAGGGGUGCUAAUACCGGAUAAUGUCUUCGGACCAAAGAUUUAUCGCCUUUGGAUGGGCCCGCGUUGGAUUAGCUAGUUGGUAGGGUAAAAGCCUACCAAGGCGACGAUCCAUAGCUGGUCUGAGAGGAUGAUCAGCCACACUGGGACUGAGACACGGCCCAGACUCCUACGGGAGGCAGCAGUGGGGAAUAUUGGACAAUGGGCGAAAGCCUGAUCCAGCAAUGCCGCGUGAGUGAUGAAGGCCUUAGGGUUGUAAAGCUCUUUUACCCGGAAUGAUAAUGACAGUACCGGGAGAAUAAGCUCCGGCUAACUCCGUG